GAGGAAAUGGCAGAGUGGUUAAUGUGUUUGGCUGUAAACCAAAUUCUUUAUGAGUCGAAGGUUCAAAUCCUUCUUUCCUUA
rnacentral:tRNA from 1 species